rnacentral:rRNA from 1 species
UACGAAGGGUGCAAGCGUUACUCGGAAUUACUGGGCGUAAAGCGUGCGUAGGUGGUUCGUUAAGUCCGAUGUGAAAGCCCUGGGCUCAACCUGGGAAUGGCAUUGGAUACUGGCGAGCUAGAGUGCGGUAGAGGGUGGCGGAAUUCCCGGUGUAGCAGUGAAAUGCGUAGAUAUCGGGAGGAACAUCCGUGGCGAAGGCGGCCACCUGGACCAGCACUGACACUGAGGCACGAAAGCGUGGGGAGCAAACAGG